UACGUAGGGGGCAAGCGUUGUCCGGAAUCAUUGGGCGUAAAGCGCGCGUAGGCGGCCCGAUCAGUCCGCUGUAAAAGUCCAGGGCUCAACCCUGGAAAGCCGGUGGAUACUGUCGGGCUAGAGUCCGGAAGAGGCGAGUGGAAUUCCUGGUGUAGCGGUGAAAUGCGCAGAUAUCGAGAGGAACACCUGAGGUGAAGACGGGUUGCUGGGCCGACACUGACGCUGAGUGCGCGAAAGCCAGGGGAGCAAACGGG
rnacentral:rRNA from 1 species